rnacentral:lncRNA from 1 species
GAAUCUAUGAAUAACAUCAGUUUCUAAGUUAUGAGUUGAUUUUUAACUACUGGGUUUAGGCCAGGCAGGCCCAGACCUGGUUUCGGGCCUGGCGUCAGGCUGCCUGUCUUUGGUUUUACUUCCUUGUUGUUUUUUCUUAAAACAGGUACUGAGUAUAAAACAAUAUAAAACAGUACGAGAGGGUCUCUCUCUUCCCUCAUUUACAUCUGUGUAACCACUAUCCUAAUCAACAUAUAGAAUAUUUUAUCACCUUUUAAGUUCCUAUGUGACUUACUGUUGUCAAUGUCCUUCUUCCAUUCCCAAUACCUGGAAACUACUGAUCUGAUUUUUGUCACCAUCGAUCAGAUUUGCUUUUUUCUAAAAUUUCGUAUGUAUACAAUUAUAUGGUAGGUAUUCUUUUGUGUCUAGCUUAUUUCUUUCAGAAUAAUGCUUUAAAAUUUAUCCAUAUUGGUGAAAGAAUCAGUACUUUAUUUCUUUUGGUUGCUAAGUACUAUUCAGUUUUAUGACUUGUGAUAUUAUGAAGUAUAUAUUCAAUCUUUGACCCCUUUUCCUGACAUACGACUCCUAAAAUACUUAGAAACUCUGAAGCGAUGUCUUAUCUUUGUUAAUGAUUGACUGAACGGAUGGCUGGCAGCCCCUGGGUAACUUCAGGAUGGGGGAUGGGAGAGACAAAGGCAUGAUUAGAGAGUUGGGACUUUCAGCUCCAUCCCCAAUAUCUGGGAAGGGGAGAGAGUCUGAAGGUUGACUACCAAUGGCCAAUGAUUUAAUCAAUUAUGCCUGUUUAAUGAAUCUUCCAUAAAAACCUAAAAGGACUAGGUUCAGAGAGCUUCCAGAUAGCUGAACACAUGGAGGUUCCUUGAGAGCGGUGUGCCCCAAGACAGUGAGGACGCUCUGCACCCCUUUCCCCCAUACCUUGCCCUUUGCAUCUCUUCAUCCUUAUGCUUUGUAAUAUAUGUAUGCCUUUAUAAUAAACUAGUAAAUGUAAGUAAGUGUUUCUCUGAGUUCUAUGAGAUGUUCUAGCAAAUUAAUUAUUAAUUGAACUCAAAUGGGGGGUCAUGGGAAUCUCAAUCUGGAAAGAAAAAUAAAAUCUGAAAACCACAAAGUUAUUAUGCCAAGGGGAAAAUUAAGGUUGGAAACGGAGUCACACAAAACACUGCCUUCCUUCUGUUCCCAAACAGGUAACUCUAAUUUCACAUGCUUACUCUAUCGUAUGUAAAAUGUAGAUUUACUGAGGAUGAGAUGAAUGCUUAAUUGAUUUUUUCCUCUACUCUCUUUUUUUCACACACAAAAUGUGGAUUCAUUGAGUGUUAAUCAAAGCCUUAUAAGAAUGUAACCACUUGUCUCAUUGCCUACUGUCCCUCCUUUUUUCCCCUUUCCCUCCUGCUUGCUCUUACACCUUAAAUAGUUAAGUUUCCAAAACCCUCUUUGGAAAAACACAGGUCAAGGAUCCUACUGUGACUUAUGUUUCUAUUUCCCAGGCAUAUCCUCGACUGGCAAAAUAAACCUCUAAUCAAUAGAGAUCUGCCUCAGUCACUUUUUGGCUUACAUGUUGGUGACCACGAAGGGACUCUGAGUGGAGUCUGGCUCUUGGCCUCCAGCAGGUCUCCUAUUGGGGCCCUGGUACCGGCUGGAGCUCUUUAUUACUCUUACAGAUUGGAUGAUUUGCUAUGUAAGUUCUGGGAACUUCUCCCUCCAGAGAUCCCUGAUCUCCCCCAAAUUUUCAAUUGGGAUCUGAGGUUUAUUCUGCUGUAAAACUCCUUUUCUGGUAGUUUCUGCUUCCAUGAUGGCAGACAGCAGUCUUCAGCUUGGGUCCAUCUCCAGGUAAGGAGCUGGUUUCAUAUUGGGAUUUGGUAGCUGAAGGGCAAGGUUUAUUGUCAGUUGGCUAUAACUUACCCUUAUGCUGAGAGAUCGCAAUUAUAUGUGAAUUCUGUGAUCACUUUUUCUGGUUUUUCUUUUCAGUUUUGGUCCACCUUCUGUUAGACUUUACCAACUCCUGGCCCCCUCUAAUGUUGAAUGAAACUCUGCAGCUGGAGAAAGUCAAUUUUCACUUCUAAAAACCCUGGCUGGUAAUAUCAUCAGGAAGACGGGUGCUUCACCAUGCUUCUGCCUGUACCAGUGUACAGAAUAUAAAGCCUUGGAGGAACUGCAGUUGAUGACAGCAUCUUCCCCUUCUCGGAGGAUCACGGCUUGAGGACUCUGCACUGGUUGUUGGCUUCUCACCCCUGAUCAGAAAGACAAUCGAAUGAGAUGCUCAAUCUCGUGAAGGGAAGGGUGAUUUUCUCUCUUCCUUCCUUAUUUAAAACAUUAAGCAUCACCACAUAAUUACGGUACAUUUUCCUCACUUCUUAGGUCUGGUUCUUAAAAGGGCCCUUCCCAAGACAGAAAGCUAUUGUCAUUAAGAUGCUGUCAUAUCACAACCUCUCCCAGACUGAAUCGUGUACUCACAGGUCAACUGCCACAACAAGGUGCCUGAAAGCACUUUCAGGAGAGUCUCCAUCCUUGGCCUGCCAGAAUAUCCAGUCAGCUUCUGAAUGGGCUUCCUUAACAGGAGUUGCUUUGAACUCAGAAUGAGGCCUGUUGCAAUUGCUUCCAGGAUAUUGCAACUUUGGGGGCAACCAAUCAGAGACACAUCACAACAGUUUAACUGCAGAGAACUAAAUGCAUCUACCUAGAAUACUUUUUAAACAGCUCUCCCCUGUGGCCAGACUGAGGAAUGUUGAUUAAACUGUGGAUUUUGGCUUUUCUUGAGUAAGUUUUCAUACAGGAUAGGUUUUUUUCUUGCUAUAAGAAGGGCCUAUCAAUAUACUGUGUUACAGAAAGAAUUACUCCAGAAUUAAGAGAAAAAAGAAGUAUCAAGGGAAAAUGUAUUAUAUGUAUUUUACUACAUAUAUAUAUUUUAUAUACAUGCCCACACAUGGAUAUAAUAUAUAAGUAUGUGAACUCAUAGUAAUCUUUCAAACAGUGACAUUUCAUUAUAUUAUUUACUUGUGCAGAUUUCUUUCACUGCUCAUCAUUGUCUUCAAGAUAAUGUAAUGUACAAACAUCUUAUAAUGGCUUUUAAUUAUUUUCACAAAGUGGUUUCUGCUUAUUGCUUUAGUUUUAUAUUUACUGACAUACAUUUUGAGUUGUAUGCUCUGGCCAUCCUGAAUUAGUUUAAUGUCAUUCUCUUAACCUAAAUAUUGACUUCA